rnacentral:tRNA from 1 species
GCCUGGAUGGCUCAGUCAGUUGAGCAUCUGACUUUAGGUUAGGUCUCACAGUUCGUGGGUUCAAGCCCCACAUAGGGCU